GACGAACGCUGGCGGCGUGCCUAAUACAUGCAAGUAGAACGCUGAAGGAGGAGCUUGCUUCUCUGGAUGAGUUGCGAACGGGUGAGUAACGCGUAGGUAACCUGCCUGGUAGCGGGGGAUAACUAUUGGAAACGAUAGCUAAUACCGCAUAAGAGUAGAUGUUGCAUGACAUUUGCUUAAAAGGUGCAAUUGCAUCACUACCAGAUGGACCUGCGUUGUAUUAGCUAGUUGGUGGGGUAACGGCUCACCAAGGCGACGAUACAUAGCCGACCUGAGAGGGUGAUCGGCCACACUGGGACUGAGACACGGCCCAGACUCCUACGGGAGGCAGCAGUAGGGAAUCUUCGGCAAUGGACGGAAGUCUGACCGAGCAACGCCGCGUGAGUGAAGAAGGUUUUCGGUUCGUAAAGCUCUGUUGUAAGAGAAGAACGAGUGUGAGAGUGGAAAGUUCACACUGUGACGGUAUCUUACCAGAAAGGGACGGCUAACUACGUG
rnacentral:rRNA from 1 species